ACUCCUACGGGAGGCAGCAGUGGGGAAUAUUGGACAAUGGGCGCAAGCCUGAUCCAGCCAUGCCGCGUGAGUGAUGAAGGCCCUAGGGUUGUAAAGCUCUUUCACCGGUGAAGAUAAUGACGGUAACCGGAGAAGAAGCCCCGGCUAACUUCGUGCCAGCAGCCGCGGUAAUACGAAGGGGGCUAGCGUUGUUCGGAUUUACUGGGCGUAAAGCGCACGUAGGCGGACUAUUAAGUCAGGGGUGAAAUCCCGGGGCUCAACCCCGGAACUGCCUUUGAUACUGGUAGUCUUGAGUUCGAGAGAGGUGAGUGGAAUUCCGAGUGUAGAGGUGAAAUUCGUAGAUAUUCGGAGGAACACCAGUGGCGAAGGCGGCUCACUGGCUCGAUACUGACGCUGAGGUGCGAAAGCGUGGGGAGCAAACAGGAUUAGAAACCCGGGUAGUCCCAUG
rnacentral:rRNA from 1 species